AAUAAAGAUGUCUUUACCAGGCAUCUCUCAAUUGUUAGGUCUCUUGGGUACAAUGUUUUGGAAGACAUGGUAUAUAAAACAAGAAUUAUUUUAAACACUAUAUCCAAUAUAUAUCAGUAAAGAUGCUUCUCAAAACACUUUUAUGUAAUUAGUUUUGAUAACACUGGUUAUAUAUUCAUCAAUCAUAUCAUUAAUUAUUGCAGAGCGAAGUAAGGUGGGCCAUGUCCUAUUGAUAAUAUGGUUUAUACAUCAAACGAUACAAAUAAAACCUGAAUAUUUAGAAAGAAUAAACAUGCAUUUUAAUGAUGAGAAGGCAAGAAAAACUUUAAACAGCUGGUACCAUGUGAAAGGGUCUAAGAGUCAAGUUUGAACUGCUCUGUAGAACUGUGAAGGAGUGCCUAUGUAGAACACCCGCUUCUUACGUCAAUUAGGAAAAUCAUCUUCAUUCUACUCUGGAAGUUAGAACAAUAAUAAUAAUUCACAAAAUGUGCAACACAUCCACAGGGAAAUUAAAAUUAAGCAUUGGGGAGUUAAUGAGGGAGAAAGCAACUAUGGAAUCUAGAGGCAGGUAGAGUUUUGUUUGAGCAAAGCCAUGAAGAACGUCAGGCUUCACCGAGACUGAACAAUUUAAACAAUGGAGAAUAACUCAAAGGACAGAUUCAAAUCUUGCAAAGAUUGGAAAGAUAAUGGUGUGGCAAGCCAAUUCCUUAUGGAAGAUCUCUCUCUCUCUCUCUCUCUCUCUCUCUGUCUCUUGUCUCUCUCUCUCUCUCUUUGUGUGUCUCUGUCUCUUUCUGUCUAUGUCUCUGUUUCUCUCUCUCUCUCCCUUUGAAUUUGAGGUCCUUAUAAAUGAGCAUCAAGUCUGCAUGAAUCUCAAAAAUACAUCCUUGGGCAGCAGAUUGGGAGUUAAUUACCUUAAAAUAAUUUAUCCUGGACUAAUACUUACAAACCCUUAUUUUCCAUUUUCAUUUCUCUCCCCUCUGUGUGUCUCCCAUCACCAAUGACCAUCUAAUUUCUGCACUGUACUCUCUCAGUCUCUGUAGAAUUGAGUUUGCUCAUCAGGUACCAUGGGGUGCCUGAGGUACAGGCAGGAAGCUGGCGGGAAGGUGUACAUCCUGAAAGAGGCGUGUGCAAAUAAAUAAGUUAAAAUAGUGGAAUUCACCCUAUCAGGUGUCUGAACACCCAAAGCUCAAAAUAGUAUUAAUUAAUGAAUUAACACCUUCUGGAAGCAGCAGGAUGGAGAGGGGAGUGUGUGCUGGGAUGAAGGGUGUCAGCCAGAGCCACUGAGGAGUCGGUUCAGCAGUGCCCAAUGGCCUUGUCAUUUAAAGCCUGCUCCAUGGUAGCACACCAUAAAGUCCUUGCAGCAGCUUGGAGAUCUAAAACUGCCCCAUGUUGGCCACUGUAGUUGGACCUGAAGGAAAGUGCACAGCCCUUCUUGUGGAAGAGGAAAGAACACACUGACCAGAAACAGUAGAGAAUGGGCUUCAAAUGGCCCGAAGCAUCUCUCAAAACUGAAAACAGGAGAAGCUAGGUCUAGUUAUUAUUGUUGUUGUUAUUGUUAUUAUUAAUUUAUCAUUUUAUUUAUUUCCAUUUCAAAUAUCCCCUUCCCAGUCUCCUCUCCACGAACCCCCCCAUCUCAUCCCCCUCCUCCCCUUUGCCUCUAAGAAGGUGCUCCCCCACCCACUCCUGCCUCACCCCUCUAUUAUUCCCCUAUAUAUAUAUAUAUCAAGUCUCCACGGCACUGAGUGUCUCCCCUCCUAUUGAUGCCAGAUAAGGCCAUCCCCUGCUACAUAUGCAGCUGGAGCCAUGGACCCACCCAUGUGUACUCUUCGGUUGGUGGUUUCGUCCCUGGGAGCUCUGGCUGAUCCAGUUAGUUGAUACUGAUGUUCUCCCUAUGGGGCUGCAAUCCCCUUCAGCUCCUUCUUUCCUUCCCUAGCUUUUCCAGUGAGGUCCCCGAGCUUAGUCCAAUGAUUGGCUGUGAGUGUCUGCUUCUGCCUUAGUGUGGUAACAGUGGAGCCUCUCAGAGAUCAGCCAUACUAGGCUGCUAUUUGUGAGCUUGGGCAUAUACCCAAAAGAUGUCUUAACAUAUAACGAGGACACAUGCCCCACUAUAUUAAUUCAUAGCAGCCUUAUUUAUAAUAGCCAGAAGCUAUUAUAAAUAACCCUUAUGUCCCUCAAUGAAAGAAUGGAUACAGAAAAUGUAGUACAUUCACACAAUGGAAUACUACUCAGCUAUUAAAAACGACUUCAUGAAUUUUGCAGGCAAAUGGAUGGAACAAGAAAAUAUCAUCCUGAGUGGGGAAAUGUAGGGACAGAAAAAUGGAGGAGAGACUGAAGGAAAGGCUAUCUAGAGACUGCCCCACCUUGGGAUCCAUCCCGUUAGCAGACACCAAACCCCGACACUAUUGCUGAAGCCAGGCCUUUAAAUAAUCAUUUUUUGCAUGUAUUAAAAGAAUAAACUCAUCUAUUCCCGUCGUUCCUUUAACUGUUUCAGAAACUCCUGGUUGAAACGGGAUGUGUAAGACUAUAUAGAAGGCUUAGCUCUGAGGUCUUUCCUUUUCUCAAGAUCUCAGAAUCCCGUGAUUUCCCAGCAUCUGCAUGAACACUCCUGCCCUGAUCUGAAUGUGCAGUGCCCCCACGGGCCCAUGGGUGAGAGUGGACACUCGGUUCCCCAGUGGGUGGAGCCAUCUCAGGAAUCUGUAGGAGGAGGGUUGUCACUGCUGGAGGAAACUAGCCGCUGGCUCUUCAGGUUUGGACUCCCGUCCACUUCUCUUUGACUUCUUGGUCUGUGGCUAUGUGAGCAGGCAGCCUCCUGCUGCUGCCAACCCAGAAGCCCCAGCUACCACACCUUCCCCACUGGGUGGGCUGAGCCUUAAUCCUGGAAGCCAAUGUCAGCACUUCCCCAGGAAGUUGCUCAUUGCCUUAUUGCCAGGUGUUUGGUCACAGCAACGAGGAAAGUAGCAACAAGGCUCCAGAUCUAAAAAUUCAAACCUGUGCUGUGCAUGGUGGCGCACACCUUUAAUCCCAGCACUCUGGAGGCAAAGGCAGGCAGAUUUCUGAGUUCGAGGCCAGCCUGGUCUACAAAGUGAGUUCCAGGACAGCCAGGGCUAUACAGAGAAACCCUGUCUCAAAAAACCAAACAAAGAAACAAAAACAAACAAACAAACAAACAAAUUCAAACCUGUGAAAGGCUCCCAGAUACAAAACAAGGAAACGAUGCCUCGUGUGACAAAGAUCACAGUGUGAAAUCUGCAUUUUGAGUAAAAUUACUUUUAGAAGUUCUAUAAGAUUGUCUCUGGGUUAUCUGUAUAUGGCACAUAUAAAAGAGAAAUAAAUGCAGCAACCAGAUUUCUGCCCUGCCUCUCACAGACACCCAGAACUUGAAAACUUGAAAAUGUAAAACUUACUUUUGAUCCACAUCAGUUUAUAUAAGUUAUAUCCAACCAGCCUUGACAUGACCGUCGGCAUAUUGAGAAGGGUUUUUUUCCCCCUAGUUAAUAAUAGAAUCAUUUCAUUAAAACAUAACAAAAGUAAGACCCAGCUGAUGGCAAUUACUUGGGGGGAAUAUUAGAAUAUUAGGCAGAGGAUCUCUGAUCACUCGCCAAAGUGCGAGGAAAUGAAUCAGAGACAGGGAGAGGGAGAGGGAGAGUGCACAGGAGAGGGUGAACUAAAGAAGCUGCGGUUCUACGCACGAGCUAAACCAGUCCCAUAACUUACAGCCACCCUCACUUCAUGACUUGGAUUUUUAUGACUGCCAUGCAGUCAAACGACCCUGAUAGCAGUGCACUGCUCACUGAACCUGCUUUGAGUAAACGUAGGAAUUUCAUUGUCUUCUGCCUGGGAGUGUGUGAUUAAACAGAGCUAGAGCCCUAUGAUUAUUUAAUGACACAGUAGACUUGAAAACCUGCCACUAAUGUCAUAUAUCUGAAAAAUAAUUUUCUGAGUACAACUGAUAUUAAAGGUGACUGAGUGUGAGAGAACAGAGAGGAGCCUUAUGUAUUAAUUCCACUGUUGCAUUAGGAAUGUCAGGCCACACUUGGCAGCCCCAAAGGCCCAUGUUCAAAGGCAUUUUUGGACAAGAUGUCAGCAUAAUUGUAGCCCCCAGAUCUACAGGAGGAGGUUGAGUGUGGGUCUUGAAGGUCUGAUAAUUCUUAAAGGAUUUUCAAGAUUAUGUAUAAAGAGCUGGAGAGACUUCUCAGCACUUAAGAGCACACACUGCCUUCCCAAGGGAUUGGGACUCGCUCUUCAGCACCCAUAACAGGCAGCUGACAACCACCUGUAACUCUGGGGAAUCCAACGCCUUCUUCUGGUACUACAUUCACACACACACACACACACACACACACACACACACACACACACACACACACACGCGCGCGCGCCCACAUACAGCUGCACACAUACACACACAGAGCAAAUUUUAAAAAUAAAAUAUAUUUUUAAAACUUUUUGUAGUAGAUGGAAAUACUGCUGUUAUCUCAAAUAUUCUGGGGCAAGGGGCUCAUAUGUAAACAGUGACCAGCCAUAGGCUGAUUGAAACCUAAGCUAAAACUUCCGUUAAAAUAACAAAAGCCCGAAAGUACUAAAACUAACCCAUAACAUUGAUUCAGAGGCAAUGGUCCCCAAAGCUUUAUUUCAGCCAUAGCAGAGAUGGUCAUAUGCCUGGGCAACUGUGAGAGAGUCUUCCUGAAUUAUUGGAGACCAAGCCCAUUACUCUGUGUGUUUAGGCAGUUUUACUGGAUAUGGACCAUUGAAAACAUAUAAAGCUCUCUAUUGUGUGACUGCUAAUAUUGAGUGUUACCAGGAACAGACCAUAGGGCCCAUGACUUCUGUGGAAUGAAAGACUCAGGGUGAGCAGGCUCAAUAUGCAGCCUGGAGUUUAUGGUUUAAAGGGCUUGGUUAUAUUUAAAAGUCUGUGAAUCCCUUGCUUAUUAAACAUUUAAUUGGAAUUUUUGAGUCAUCGGGAAUGCUCUCUUCUCUUGAGAGACAACCUGCACCUCUCCUUGCUGAGGACCAGGCUGUACGUGGGUGAUUAAAGUUGUGCGGCUACACAGAAAGGCAGCAGCCACAUAGCUCACUGUUGUGAGGGUAGUGAAUCCGAUUGCCUCAAUUUGAAGAACUUCGGCUUUGAGAAUGCCAGUCUAGCUCCUCCUGAGCACACGUGGAAGCCCAUGCAGAUUUGGAGAUUAAAGGGCACUCCCACGCCUCACUCCUAUUUACCGUAGAUUGGAAAAUGUUUAGAUGUCAGAAAGCUGUGACUCAGUGUAAGACGUAGAAAGAGUUUGCACUAUAAAGUAAAUCCUCUGUAACAGACUGGGUUUCCAGUGACCCCUGUGUUACUUGACCCUGGAAUCAACUCUCGAAAAGCUCUAGCGUGGAGAAGCUGGCUGUCAAGAGCAGCCAUUUUCACUCGUCUCUGGAAUCUAUUCUUAAGGAUAAAUACCCGCGAAGUCUGCUUUAGUCAGUGUUCCUGUUUCUUCCAGUUUCCAACAGUAAACAUAUGUGUCCACACACAUUUUCUAUUCUGCACCAAUGGGAAAUCAUGUUCGAUGGGCAAAAUGCAAUCUGGAGGGAUACAGGGAAGGAAA